rnacentral:lncRNA from 1 species
CUGUACUGUGUUGGAAAUGUCCUGCAUUUGUUGUAGUAUUGUGACAUGGUUUAUGUAUUUUCUUACUGCUCAGCUUUCAUUUAGCUUCAUUACUUACUGAGUUGGCGUACUCACAUUACUCCCUGCACUUUGUGUGUAGAUUCAGGCAUUUCUGAACCCGGUAGCGGGUGUUGAUUGCUCAGUGGCAUAGUCAUUGGAGUUACCAAGGUAGCUUCCCGGCGUUCGCAUCCCUACUUCUACCUCUUAUCUUCCUUAGCCUGUUAUAAUUUAUUUUCAGACUCUUCGUUGUAUUCGAACUUUAGUAGAUGCCCGUGACUUGUGACACCCCGAUUUUAGGCUUGUGUAUUUAUUCUACACUGUUCACUUAGACUUACAUUUUGAGAUAUGUGAUUAGUUAAAGGCUUAAAAUGACUUUUUUUAUUAAAGGAUUAAUUCGGGAGUUGUGUCGCCUGACCUAGUUUCACGAUAGGCGCCAUCAUGACAAGGUCGGUUUUAGGGUCAUGACAUGCGGGGUCCUGAGUGAAGAAGGGGUCGAUGAUGCCGACCCAGUGGAUGCAGGUUCAAUCUUCGAGGAGGCUCAACGUCUUUGUUUAAUUGUAUGUUUUUAGCCACCCUGAUAUUUCUCCAAUGCCAUACUUUUCUACUUUUGUCUAAUUAAUCAUUCCUUUCUUUUGUGUAGGCCUUUGACAAAUUGAAGACCAAAUUGUGCCAUUGUGAAGUCGAAUUGUGUAGGGCUUCGAAUGAGGAUAAAACACUUAGGAUUCUCCUUGACAAAAAGGAGGAAGAACUGAAACAUCUCCGGUCGGAGCUGACCAAAACUCGUGAAUACGAGAGUGAGUUAGAAAAGCAAGUAACCUCUGUUCUGAAAAAAUACAGGCUACCUCUCCCAUCACUAAUACUUCAAUGUCUCAGCUACAGUAAAAGCUAGAUAUGAUCGGACAACUCCGGGGCGAGGUCGAUCAAAUUCGAGCCGAAUGGAAUGAAUAGAAAAAAAAAGAUAGACGCCCUCGUUGUGGCUAAAAAUGAUGCGUUGGUGAGGGUAUCAGCCCUCGAGGUUCAACUUCGAAACGCUCAAGGGAGCAACUUGGUUCAAGCUAGCAGAAUAGCUGAGCUCGAGGCUGGUCUUGCGAAGGUCAAGGCUGAAGUGGUGGAAGUCAAGGCCAAAGUGGUGGAAGUCAAGGCCGAAGCCAGCGUAAUACAGGCCAAGGCCGACAGGACGGUGGCCAUCUAUUCGAAAGAUGCUACCGAUGCUCAGAUGGAGUUGAGGGAGGCUUCAAAUUGAGAAAAAAAAAAGCAAUGACUAUGUCCGACAUUGAUCUCGAAGGGAGACCAUUGAGGAGAUUCAUGCUAAGGGCUUUGAUCUUUCCGAGGAGAUAAAGCAAGCUAAGGUAGAUGAGGUUGAUUCCAUAGUCAUUUCCUCUGAUGACGAUGAUGACGCCGAAGAUGAUGACAGGGAGGGGGCUACCGAAGAAGUUACCCCCGGAGAAGAGGCUGGUCUCGGGGAAAUGACAGGUCGGGGGGGGGGGGGAAUGUCCCUCUGGAGUAGGAAGAAUUUUUUCUAUCUUUUUGUAAUUUUUUGCUUUGUAGGACCCCCGUGUAAUAUCUUUUUGUAUAUAUAAAAAGAAGAUUCCUUGAUCGUUUGCCCUUAAUUUUUCUUCAGCAUUUGUUAAAAUUUUUAUGCUCUAACCUCUGAGUGUUGAAUCAAAUUCGGGGUAGAGUAGACCCUCAAAUCUUUGUAUUUUGAUCAACAAUUGAUAAUAGGCUACCACUUAAGGUUUGAUCUUCAAGCUAAGUUUUAGCUCGAGACUUUUGAGUCCGAUCUGGGUAAAGUCUUCGAGCAUAGUAUGUUUCGGCCUUAAAGAUCUUUAAAUAUUGGCCCUUAAGGUCUUUUAGGUUGGACCUUAGGCACUUUUAGGUCGGUCCUUAGGCUCUUUAGGUGGGGCCAAUUCGGCCUCUAAAAUGGCUAUAAAUGUUUUCCCUCAUUUCGGCUAAAAGACUUAGUGACAUUUUAUUUAUGCCUUAGCAUGUGUUUUUGUACCCGUUGGGUUUUCCGAAGGCUCGACAUAUCGGAACCUUAUUAAUCAUUUCGUUUGUGUAGGCAUGAUCGAAUACCUCUUAAGGUCUUUUCGAAGGCUGGUGUUAUCGAAGCGUUUGGAUUAUUCGAGGGCUGAAUUUAUUGAAGCCCUUAGAUUUUUUGGGGGCCGAAUUUAUCGAAGCCCCUUAUAUUUUGCUUUUGCCGAGGGUAGCCUGACUUAACCAAUUUUUUAAUAUUUGAAGUCCUUUAAUUUUAUUGUGAAAGUCAGACGUCUACGAAUCACAUUAUUUUGGUCGUAGCCUUUAUGUGACCGUAGUCUUUAGUAUGGCCGAAGUCUUCGGGUUUGUCACUUGGACUUGUUUCCCCAAAAACUUUCCAAACUUGUUCGAAGAGUUAGUCUCCGAGUAUAUUGGCCUCGAAGGGGGUGCCUCUUUGAGGUUUUAUGAGUCCGAAUUUUCGAUGACUCAGAUGUAUUGGCUGUCAGUGAUAGUCCCCAGAUACAUCGGGGUGCUUUGGCCCUUGAGCCACUUCCCGUAGGAUUGCAAGUGUAGAGCUCGUAUUAUAGCAAACUUCUUUGAGAUACAAAGUAUUUUCGAUAUAACCAGAAUGCUUCUUUAAAUAGUUGAUACAUGCGUACAUGUUUUGUCGUGGGGCUCGACUAUUCUAUAUAAACAAGGUUCAUUUGACCAUUUGGCCCAUUACAAAGUUCUCCUAUCGAGGCCCUCUUAGGCGUGAGGUAUCUUUCUCAAAAGUAUAUCCUCCGGGGGUGAUGCCCCUAGUAUUCGAGGUUGAUUGAAAAGAAGCCUUGAAUAUUUGUUGAAUGUUCCUUAGGUAGCAUAUGGUGUUGCCUCAUUAAAAACCUUGCCAGUAAAACCCAUUUGGGAUAAAACUCGAUCUAAGGGAAAAAGAGUGCAACGCAUGCUUUCAAACCCAAGGUCUUCGAGCUGAAAGGUGCCUCGAUAUCUCCAACUAAACAUCUGCAAGGAGUUAGUUUUAAAUACAAAAGGAAAAGGGGAGAAGGUCAUACCUCAGUAGUAAUAUCGCUUGAGCAACGAUACAUUCGAAUUGUUUGGUAGUUGCUCGCCUUCCAUUGUGCUAAGUUUGUAGGAUCCUUUCCCUACGACUCCGAGGACACGGUACGGUCCUUCCCAAUUAGGACAUAGUUUCCCUUCGUUUGGGUCUCGAGUGUUAAAAGUGACUUUUUUCAGGACUAAGUCUCCGACUUUGAAAUAUUGAAGGUUCGUCCUUCUAUUGUAAUACCUUUCGAUCCUUUGUUUUUGCACGACCAUUCAAAUUAUCGCGACCUCUCGUUUUUCAUCGAGUAGUUCGAGAGAAGUGUUCAUAGCUUCGUGAUUUGAACUCUCGGUGGCAUGCUGAAACCUGACGCUAGGUUCCCCGACUUCGAUUGGGAUCAAUGCUUUGGAUCCGUAUACCAAAGAAAAUGGGGUCUCCCCCAUGCUCGAAUUCGACGUUGUUCAAUAUGCCUGUAGCACUUCGGCAAACACUUCUCUCCAUUUCCCCUUUGCAUCAUCUACCCUUUUUUUAAGUUUUGAAUGAUGGUUUUGUUAGAGGACUCGGCCUGACCAUUUGCACUUGGGUGGUAAGGUGCUGAUAGGAUCCUUUUGAUUUUACGGUCCUCAAGAAAUUUUGUUACUUUACUGCCGAUGAAUUGUUUCCCAUUGUCACAUGCUAUUUCGUAGGUAUCCCGAACCGACAUAUAAUGUGGUCUCAUAUGAAGCCGAUGACUACUUUUUCUCUUACCUUCUCGAAGGCCUGCGCUUCAACCUACUUCGAGAAGUAGUCAGUCAUAAACAAAAUAAAUCUAGCUUUACUUGGCGCCAUUGGUAGGGGGACGACAAUGUCCAUCCCCCUUUUCAUGAAUGGCCAUUGGUAUAGGACCGAAUAGAACUUCAUUGGGUUGAUGGAGCAUCGGUGCAAAUCUUUGGCAUUUAUCACACUUUCGAACAAACUUCUUGGUAUCCUUUUCCAUGCUAUCCCAAUAAUACCCUACUCUUAUCACCUUGCGAACCAGAGAGUCUGCACCAUAAUAGUUCCACAAGUACCCUCGUGGAUUUCGCAUAAUACAUAAUCGGUGUCCCCGGGUCCCAAGUACACUGCUAGUGGUCAGUCGAAGGUUCUUUCGUACAACGUUCCAUUUUCAUCGAGUGAGAAUCGAGCUGCUUUGGCUUGAAGUGUUCUUGACUCUUUUGGGUCCUCGGGGAGCUUCCCAUGCCUCAAGUAGUUGAUGUACUUAUUCCUCCAAUCACAUGUUAAAUUUAAUGUUUCCUCGGUACUGGAUGACUUAUAGUCUAUGAUGUAUAUAUAUUUCGGGAUGGAUCUUCCCUGGGCCGAAUGGGCCAUAUACAGUACCGAGUGGUUGAGCACUGUGAGUGGACGUAUUAUAAAUAAUAUUGAUCAUGGUAUCUGUGCAUUGGUACUUAGAGGUUCCUGAGCUUCAUACUCUGUAUCAUUCAUAUUGUGUUUAAUUACUGCUGAGAAACUGAAUGAACUGUAAGCAUGUCUACUUUUUCGUACAAUUAACUGUUGCAACCUGUUGAGGUUUGGUCCGUCACUACCGUCAGUCCAUAGUUUGGACUUGUUACUUACGGAGUUGGUGUACUCACGUUACCCCCUGCACCUCUGUGUGCAGAUCCAGGUAUCUCGGGGCACGACAGCGGCUGUUGAUCACACCAGUUGGAGACUUUCUGGGGAGAUUUCGGGUAGCUGCUUGGCGACCACAGUUUUGCCUUCUCCUUUCCCUAUCUUCCUUUAGUAUAUUUAUUUGGAUAUUCUCAGACCGUGUUGGUCAUGUUAUUUCGAACAGAUGUAGUAGUUUUAGCUCAUGACUUAGUGACACCCGAGGUCGGGAUUGUGUUUCUUUCCACUGGAUUUUGAUUUCUACUUUUAUCUUAUUGAAUUUCUGUUAAAAUUAUGAUUUUCUUAAGUUGUUUUAUGUGAAAAAUGGAGUAUUUGGAAAUAAGUGUCUUGCCUAGUAUCAUGAUAGGCACCAUCACGACAUAGUUAGAUUUUGGGUAGUGACAGGCGCCUAUCGUGAAACUAGGCCGGCCAACUUACUUCCAAAUACUCUAGAUUUCAUUUAAUACUUAACUAAAAUCAUGUUUUUGACAGAAAUUCGAUAAAAGAUAUAAAGUAAAAUCAAAACAAUACGGAAAAUACCNNNNNNNNNNNNNNNNNNNNNNNNNNNNNNNNNNNNNNNNNNNNNNNNNNNNNNNNNNNNNNNNNNNNNNNNNNNNNNNNNNNNNNNNNNNNNNNNNNNNNNNNNNNNNNNNNNNNNNNNNNNNNNNNNNNNNNNNNNNNNNNNNNNNNNNNNNNNNNNNNNNNNNNNNNNNNNNNNNNNNNNNNNNNNNNNNNNNNNNNNNNNNNNNNNNNNNNNNNNNNNNNNNNNNNNNNNNNNNNNNNNNNNNNNNNNNNNNNNNNNNNNNNNNNNNNNNNNNNNNNNNNNNNNNNNNNNNNNNNNNNNNNNNNNNNNNNNNNNNNNNNNNNNNNNNNNNNNNNNNNNNNNNNNNNNNNNNNNNNNNNNNNNNNNNNNNNNNNNNNNNNNNNNNNNNNNNNNNNNNNNNNNNNNNNNNNNNNNNNNNNNNNNNNNNNNNNNNNNNNNNNNNNNNNNNNNNNNNNNNNNNNNNNNNNNNNNNNNNNNNNNNNNNNNNNNNNNNACUAUAUAGUCUGAGAAUAGCCAACAAAUACACUAAGAAGAAGAUAAGGAAGGAGAAGGCGGGACUGCGAUCGCCAAGCAACUACGUUGCUAUAUCUAAGGAAAAAUUCCACCACUGAAAUGAUCAGCAACUGCUACCGUGGCCCGAGAUACCUGGAUCUGCACACAAGGCGCAGGGGGUAACGUGAGCACACCAACUCAGUAAGUAACAAGUCCAAGCUAUGGACUGACAGGUAGUGACAAACCAAACCUCAACAGGAAAUAUCAUUAAACUGUACAGAAAAGUAGACAUGCUUGCAGUUCAAGUAAAAACUCAACAGUAAAUAAAUGCAGCCUAAACGGUACGGAGUAUAAGGCUCAGGAAAUCUCUAUGUACUAAUGCACAGAUAGCAUGAUCAAUGUUUCAUGUACCUCCACUCACAAGUGCUCAACCACUCGGUACUGUAUAUGGCCGUCUGUCCAGGGAAGAUCCAUCUCGGAAUAUAUAUAUCACUGAUCGCAGUCAUCUAGUAUCGAGGAAGGCUAUUCUAGCCUUGUGGAGAAGAUCCAUCUCCAGGUUUAAAUACUUCGGACAAGAUCCAUGUCUAGGGAAGAUCCAUCCCUCAAUAUGAUCAACUGCGCUCACUGGGGUGUGUUACAGACUCCGGAGGGGCUCCUACAACCCAAGCGCUAUCAUAAUCAUCAACAUAACCACUGCGGCGUGCAGCCCGAUCCCAUAUACUAUCACUCACAACCAGGCUCUCGACCUCACUCAGUCAUCACUCUCCAGUCUCACACACACGGGUUCACAAUGUCAUGAUACUAGCCCGAACAAUGAUAUGAUGUGCCAAAUAACAAUAAUCAAUACUGAGACAUGAUAUAUAAUGCAUGAACAUGACAAAGUAUAGAAUAUCAAUGAAGAUAAUGAUAUGACAACACGAAACGACCUCUCGUGUCUCAACAGUAUCGGUGUGAAGCCCUAACAGGAUAUCUAGCAUGGUUUCACAACACAUUUACUUAGUCACACGAUAGAAACACGGAUAUCAACAAGAAAGAGUUACUAAGUGGUGCCACGGAAUGAUCCAGGCCGCAAUUCUCACGGUGCACGCCCACACGCCCGUCACUUGGCAUUUGCGUCACUUCAAUAGCAAUCAUAGAAUACAUAGUUCGGGGUUUCGAAUCCUCAGAACCAAGUUUGGAAGCGUUACUUACCUCAAGCCAAGCCAAACUCUAACCCGCGACGCCCUUGCCUCUCGAUUUGGCCUCCAAAUGCUUCGAAUCUAACCAAAAUCAGUAUAUCAUCAUCAAUAUACGCUAAAGGAAUGAAACCCAUACGAAAAUUAUCAAUUUAACUCAAAAUCCCGAAAUUGGCCUAACCCUACCCCCGGGCCCACGUCUCGGAAUACAAUAAAAAUCACAAAACUGGAAAACCCAUUAGCUCACAAGCCUACUUAUAUCAAAUUCAUCAAAAUACGACGUCAAAAGGUCAUCCAAAUCCCAAAAAUCCAUUCUCCAAUUUUUCUUCCAUUUUCCCCAAUUUUACCCCAAAUUCUCAAAUUAAAUGAUAAGAUUCAAGGCAUAAUUAUGGAAUUUAGCCCAAAACAAGUGAAGAACACUUACCUCAAUCACUUCUCUGAAAAUCCUAUCUAAAUUCACCUUUCUCCCGGGCUCUCUAAUGAGUUUUUGAAAAUAUGAACUAAACCCUCAUUUCUGAACUUAAAGAUUCUGCCCAAACGCUUCCAUCUUCGCGAACGCGAUCAAAGCCUCGCGUUCGUGAAGCACAAAAAUCACUGCCCAAUUAUUCCUCUUUCGCGAACGCGACUUCCUUCAAGAGAACGCAAAGCUUCAGCUGCCCAAGCCUUCGCAAAUGCGACCCUACCUACGCGAACGCAAUGCACAAACUCUUGGGGUCCCAGCUGCUCCAAUUUACCCUACACGAAUGCGACUCCUCUCACGCGUUCGUCAUUCACUGGAAUCCAAACCUAUGUGAAUGCGUCCUUUGACUCGCGAACGCGAAGAGAAUUUUAUCCCCUAGACCCAGCUCUUCUUCGCGAACGCGGGACAAUCUUCGCGAAUGCGAAGAACAAAUUCUUAUGCAACAAAAACCAGCAAAAUCUGCAACUCUCCAAAACCAACAAUUGGUCCGUUAACCACCCGAAACUCACAUGAGGCCCUUGGGACCUCAACCAAGGAUGUCAACACAUCCCAUAACAUCAUUCAAACUUGUUCCAACCUUCGAAACACUCAAAACAAUGUCAAAACAUCAUAUCACCCUCGGAUUCAAGCUUAAGAAUUCCAAAUCUUUCGAAUCCCGCAACCGAUAAAAGUCUACCAACCUCAUCCGAAUGACCUAAAAUUUUGCACACACGUCCCAAAUGACACAACAGACCUACUCCAAUUUUUGGAAUUCCAUUCUGAACCCUAUAUCAAAAUUUCCACUGCCGACCGAAAAAAUGCCAAAUUUUCAAUUUCGCUAAUUCAAGCCUAAAUCUUCCACAGACCUCCAAAACACAUUCCGAUCACGCUCCUAAGUCCCAAAUCACCUAACGAAGCUAUAUGAACCAUCAGAAUUCACAUCCGAGACCUUCUACCCAUAAGUCAACAUCCGGUUGGCUUUUCCAACUUAAGCUUACUCAAAAGAGACUAAGUGUCUCAUUCCUCUACAAAACCACUCCGAACUCGAACCAACUAACCCGAUACCACAUAAUACAGCUAAACAAGACAUAAAGAAGCAGAAAUGGGGGAAACAGAGUGGUAGCUCAUGAAAUGACCGGUUAGGUCGUUACAGAAUCAAACUCGCGUAGUUCGUCCAGCUUUGACGGACCAGAGGAAAAUAUGAAUUUUUGAAAACAUCGGCUUAUUUUCUUUCUCUUUUUUUUUUUCAAAAUUUUGGCGGAGUUUCGGAAAUUUUCAAAUAUCUACCUCUCACUCUUGGUUUUUUGAUUUCCCUUUUUUUCUUUUUCUUUUUAUUUGAUUUCUUUCCCUAUUCUAGAAGCCAGUCAACAUACAAGGCCAAAAAAAAAAUACGCUAGUAGCACGUAAUAUGCAUCAGGAUGGUCUUUUCAAUUUGGGUACACAUGUCCUAGACGGACCCAACCACUAUGUUGAGUACCCAAAGUCAAAUGCACGUGAUGCAAACAAGCGUUCCUACUAGGGAUCUGGUAUGAGGCCAUGUUACUCUAGGUUUAAAACCUAGGUGUAUUGUUCUAGACCUGGCUUAUACGAGCGAACAACUCGAGCCAGGGGGGCAGCGUACCGGUACCCAAACGAUCAUCCACCUUUGAAACUUGUCUAAUCCUCUUCUAAGUUAGGGAUAUGAUUCUAACAGAAAAAAAAGUCACGCCAGGGUGCAUUUCCCAGAAGAUUUAGAAGACUCAGAGAGAAGAAGGGUUUCAUAACAGUUUAUAUACAGUUCACACAAUAUCAAAGUGAAAAGCGACAUUUAGCACAUUAGGCUCAAACACAUAAAAAAUCAGAUAAUGAACAAAAUCCAACUAUAACAAUUAUUCUAAGCUUUAAUUUUGAACCAUGAAUCAGAUGUUCUGGGUAAUAUCCUAAAUAGAGUCGUCAGAGCUAUCACGCAACCUUUUUCCUGAGGGGAUAGGGAGUUUUUCCAAUUUAAAUGACACUAAUCAAAAUGGAAUUAUUUAUUUAUUCAGAAUCGCCACUUGGGAUGAUUAUAUGGUGUUCCAAGUCACCAGUUUAUUUUAAAUUCCAAAUCGAGGAAGUUUUAACUCUAAUUUACUGCCCCCGAAACACAGAAAUCCGGACAAGAAAUUCUGUUAACCCGAGCGAAGGUGUUAGGCAUUCCCAGGUUCCGUGGUUUUAGCACGGUCGCUCAACUAUUAAUAAUUGGCCUAAUUACCUGAUUCAUUACGUAUUUAAAUCCUAUUAUGCAUUUUAACAUUUUAACCGCUUUUAAUUAUUUAUGAGAUUUGUUUGAAAAAAUCGCGAUGUCGUGUACUCGUUUGCUUUGUACAUAUUGCGAAUCGUGUCAAGGAAACCGUAUCCACGAUCCACAACAUGUUUAAUUUUAUUAUUGUUCAAAGUUAUAAGACAGUCACAUAAAAUGCACACCCGAAUUAGGAUUACAUAUCGUGACCAUGCCACGGGAAUCGUACCCAUAAUCACGAUGAUUUUAUUGAUCGCGCCUAAAGCAAGCUACGAUGAUUCAUAAGAUUAUUUCCUGAACUAGUGUUGUUGUUAUUGGGCUUACAGUGGAUCAGUUGGCCCAUAAAUAUCAGAAACUAAGUUUUAAUUGUUCAAUUAAGAGAAACAUCCAGAUAAGAACAAACUAAAUAGAAGGAAGCAAAAUGCCAAAAUCAACAAGAAAUAAAAUCUCACCAAUAUCAUAUGAAUCAAGUUCAACACAUACACCAUUUUUACUGUCUUUAAUGGUUUAAAGCUCAAAUUCCUAAAUUAUUUUUUACCAUGUUAAACCACGAUACAUAAAUAUUAUUAGAAGCAGCAAUUAGAAAAGCUAAUAAUGAAACCAUAGGAAAAUUUCAUCCAAAUACAUAAUACUUCAAAGCCAUUCAUUAACUAGAAAUAAGGUAAGUUAAAACUGGACCUCUCACUGUAGCAAAUUUCUUUGAGAAUUGAAUAAUGGAUCACCCUGAAGCAAACAGCGGUACAACAAAUGCUCUGUUCCAAAUGAACGUGCAACAGUAAGCUCCGAUAAAAUUUGUCUCAAAAUUGAACCGUGACCGGAGCUAGAACAGAAAACUUGUCGCCGACGAGCUCGAGUACAGAGCUUCACGGGAUUAAUGGAGGAUUUUGGAGCAGUUUUCUCCGCGAAAUUGGCAGCAAUUUGAGCUGUUGUUUGUGAACAUUUUGGGACUAUUUUGUCAGUGUUUUGGGGAGCUGCUUUCAGUGUUUCUGGGUGAUGACAAUGGCUGUGUUUAUUGUACGUAUUUGGGAAAAUUUAGAGCUAUUUUGAGGUGUAAACAUGAGAAGGAGAAGAAAACUAGUUGUUCUCCAAAAGAACAAAGAAGAAGGCGUUGAUGCCCAACUUUCUUUUUAGAGCUCUAAGUUUCUUUUCAUUUUUUUGGCCCUGUUUCUUUUGCUGCUUUUGCAUCCCUUUUCUACUUUUCAGAUCGGUUUUUUGCCCCUUUUUUGUGUUCUGUGUGUUUUUCUUUUUCUUUUGUCAUAUGGGGUUGUAAUUUUUGAAGAAGAAGAAGAAGGAGUUCCUAUGGUGGGGUGCAGCUGACCUCUCCUCAAU